CGUCGGGCGUCUGUUCACGGGAGAUUGCAUCUGAACUGCUAAUCUUGAGUAUAGGAUGGGAGAAUGGCCCACUUCUGGUGGAGCGGUGAAAUGCGUAGAUAUCAGAAGGAACGCCGGCGGCGAAAGCGAUUCUCUGGCCUAUUACUGACACUCAGUGUGCGAAAGCUAGGGGAGCAAACGGGAUUAGAUACCCCGGUAGUCCUAGCCGUAAACGAUGGGCACUAAGUAGAGGGGUUUUA
rnacentral:rRNA from 1 species